UACGUAGGUGGCAAGCGUUGUCCGGAUUUAUUGGGCGUAAAGCGCGCGCAGGUGGUUCGUUGCGUCCGAGGUGAAAUCUCCCGGCUCAACUGGGAGGGGUCUUCGGAUACGGGCGGACUAGAGGAGAGCAGAGGUAGGCGGAAUUCUGGGUGUAGUGGUGAAAUGCGUAGAUAUCCAGAGGAACACCAGUGGCGAAGGCGGCCUACUGGGCUCCACCUGACACUGAGGCGCGAAAGCGUGGGGAGCGAACCGG
rnacentral:rRNA from 1 species